rnacentral:rRNA from 1 species
GAUGAACGCUGGCGGCGUGCCUAAUACAUGCAAGUCGAGCGAACAGACGAGGAGCUUGCUCCUCUGACGUUAGCGGCGGACGGGUGAGUAACACGUGGAUAACCUACCUAUUAGACUGGGAUAACUUCGGGAAACCGGAGCUAAUACCGGAUAAUAUAUUGUACCGCAUGGUUCAAUAGUGAAAGACGGUUUUGCUGUAACUUAUAGAUGGAUUCGCGUCGCAUUAGCUAGUUGGUAAGGUAACGGCUUACCAAGGCGACGAUGCGUAGCCGACCUGAGAGGUUGAUCGGCCACACUGGAACUGAGACACGGUCCAGACUCCUACGGGAGGCAGCAUUAGGGAAUCUUCCGCAAUGGGCGAAAGCCUGACGGAGCAACGCCGCGUGAGUGAUGAAGGUCUUCGGAUCGUAAAACUCUGUUAUUAGGGAAGAACAAAUGUAUAAGUAACUAUGCACGUCUUGACGGUACCUAAUCAGAAAGCCACGGCUAACUACGUG